GAGUGGCGGACGGGUGAGUAACACGUAGGUAACCUGCCCAGAAGCGGGGGACAACAUUUGGAAACAGAUGCUAAUACCGCAUAACAGCGUUGUUCGCAUGAACAACGCUUAAAAGAUGGCUUCUCGCUAUCACUUCUGGAUGGACCUGCGGUGCAUUAGCUUGUUGGUGGGGUAACGGCCUACCAAGGCGAUGAUGCAUAGCCGAGUUGAGAGACUGAUCGGCCACAAUGGGACUGAGACACGGCCCAUACUCCUACGGGAGGCAGCAGUAGGGAAUCUUCCACAAUGGGCGCAAGCCUGAUGGAGCAACACCGCGUGAGUGAAGAAGGGUUUCGGCUCGUAAAGCUCUGUUGUAAAGAAGAACACGUAUGAGAGUAACUGUUCAUACGUGAC
rnacentral:rRNA from 1 species